UACGUAGGGUGCAAGCGUUGUCCGGAAUUAUUGGGCGUAAAGAGCUCGUAGGCGGUCUGUCGCGUCGGAUGUGAAAAUCCAGGGCUCAACCCUGGGCCUGCAUUCGAUACGGGCAGACUAGAGUUCGGCAGGGGAGACUGGAAUUCCUGGUGUAGCGGUGAAAUGCGCAGAUAUCAGGAGGAACACCGGUGGCGAAGGCGGGUCUCUGGGCCGAUACUGACGCUGAGGAGCGAAAGCGUGGGGAGCGAACAGG
rnacentral:rRNA from 1 species